rfam:Pedobacter kyungheensis strain KACC 16221 contig02, whole genome shotgun sequence.
CGAUUGCGUGAAGGAUAGCAGUGAAAAUCCUUUUGUUUUGCCUGAAGCGAAGCGGAGGGUAACAAAAGAUUGUAACGGAUAGCCUGACCCUUU